rnacentral:rRNA from 1 species
GUGUCCUACGGGGGGCAGCAGUGGGGAAUAUUGGACAAUGGGGGAAACCCUGAUCCAGCGACGCCGCGUGAGUGAAGAAGUAUUUCGGUACGUAAAGCUCUAUCAGCAGGAAAGAAAAUGGCGGUACCUGACUAAGAAGCCCCGGCUAACUACGUGCCAGCAGCCGCGGGAAUACGUAGGGGGCCAGCGUUAUCCGGAUUUACUGGGUGUAAAGGGAGCGUAGACGGCAGCGCAAGUCUGGAGUGAAAUGCCGGGGCCCAACCCCGGAACUGCUCUGGAAACUGUUGAGCUGGAGUGCAGGAGGG